rnacentral:antisense_RNA from 1 species
CCGGGAGCUCGGCCUUGUGCGCGGCGCUCUGAGGACUUCCUAAAGCCAGUCCAGGAGCACAGUUUUUACCUGUUCAGUGGCACAUAUCUGUGAUUGAAACUCUGUUUUUGUAUGUUUAACCACUGAAGGAAGAAUGCAGCAGACUGCUGGACAAACACUGCGCCAAGAGCUCCUCAGCAGAUGCUCCUCGCAUCAGAUCCUCUGUGCUGGGAAUCCUCCCCUCUCGACCAUACUCUGUGCUCCUCUUCCAGUUACGGUGCAUGUGAAGCAAUGGUAUGGGAAAAUUGUUUGCAGAAGGAUGAAAAGGCUUUAUUCCCAAACUGUAAGGACAUGAUUUGAAAUGUUUAUGGUCAAGAGAAAAUAUUUCUACAGCAUCAUGUACAGCAUGGAGAUACAUUUGCACAUAUGCAUUAACAUGUAAGAACAUGUGCCUCAGACACAUGUGCCGUCCUGGGACAGCUCAUGCUGGACCCAUGCCUGCUUCCAAGCUUCCAUCAAGUCAGGGAGUGGAGCAAAGAGGGAAGGCAGCCCUUGCACUGUAGGGACCCUUAUGCACAGAGGCAUUGAGACUGCCUGUUCCUCUUGGAAGCUUCUCUCACGAGGCAGCUGGGUUUUUGGAGCUUCUCUGCUUCAUGUCUUGCUUCCCACCCUAGGGUUCCAGAUUCUGUUCUUCCCUAGUAUUGGCAAGGUUUUUUACAGAUAGCUCUUGGAUACAUUUGGAAGUAAUGUUUACAAAUGGUGAGAGAGAUGGCAUCUGACAUUUUUUUCUAAACACAUGCCAAUGUUUAUCCUUUCCCCACUAAUUUCAAUAAUUUGGCCUAACAUUUUUGUCACAUAUUCUGACUCUUUAUUCUGAUCCAUUCAUCUACUCUGGCAUCCCCACAUGGUUUUAAGUACUGGAGCUUUACUGUAUGUCUUGGUAUCAGGCCAAGCAAACCUUGUUAGUGAGAAAGCUUUAAAGCUUUCUCAGCAAUUGCUACACAUUUUUUUAUCCUGAUGAAUUUUAAAACUUACCAAUACCAGAACUGACAUCUUCACAGCAUUGUAUCCUGUCAACAACCUAGUCUGAACCUCAAUGGUUCAGGUUUCCUUUACACAUACAGGCCCUGAGAACUCAUAUGUUAAGGGUUUAUUGUUGUGAAUGAGAAUUUUUUUUUUUUAAACAUGUGGCUCUAUCUGAUCACCUUAUUGAACUGAGAAUGGUUCUAUGGACUUGACUGUUAUCUUGGACUGACAACUGUACUGUCUGGAAAUGACAGUUUCUCCUUCCUUUCAGUUUUUGUGCCUGUCUAUCCCACAUCCCUGUGCUGGUCAGGAUUUCCAGGACAAUAGUGAAUAGUAGUCGGGACAACAGGCUGGUUCUGAUUCCACUGUUCCUAACAUUCUACCAAGAAGCAUGUUUUUUUUCUAUUUUGGUAGUUUUAUGUUAGGUAGCCUUAUCAAGUUAGGACUUUUUUUUUUACCCAAGCUAAAGAAAGUACCCAAAAUAAAGAAAUUUUAUCAGGAACAGGUAUAAAUUAAGAAAUGUAUUUCAACACCUGCUAAAAUUACCACUUAUUUUUCUAUUAUGGCAACAAAUUACAUUAAUAGAUUUUCACUGUUACUGUUUAUCCUGGGAGAAAGCAUACUUGUGAACUUUUUUAGGUACUGUGCUUUGGAACCAGAUUUGGAAGUGAGAUGAAAUGUCAGCUGUACUCUCCUGGUUAGGUAUGAUUUCUGGGUCAGGUUUGCCUGAUAAAUGAAGUGAGAUGCUUGUAACUUUGCUCUAGAAUAGUUUCUACUGCAUGGGAAUGAUCUGUUCCUUGAGGAUUUGUCACAGUCUGCCCACAAUGGACUGGAUUUGGCAUGUAGGAUGUUAAUUCCUAUUUACUUUGCAAGAAAAAUACAGUUUAGCAAGCAACAGAAACAUACUGAACAUGAACCUCACCGUCCCUCUCUCAGCUGUAGCUCCUUCUGCGUCUGCAACCUGGCUUGUUCCCACGACAAAGGAACAUCAUAUUUUUUCAAAUGGUUUUUAAAAAAAUACACACAUAUCUGACCAUCUUCACUCAGCGCCUCUGAAAAAACAAUACAAAAACCGAUAAAGAGGCCAGCCUGGCCAACCCUGUCUCAAAAAAAAAAAA